UUCAAUGGAUAGUCAGGCUGAACAGCAGCCUCUUGAGGCAGUGAUAGUCAUUUUGAUGAGAAAUGUUAACUAAGUAGAAUUUUCCUAAGAGAAAAACUAUGAUUUCAUCUUCAGCCACAGUAAUGGUACAGGGUACUGUCACCGGUUGAAUAACAGGCCUGCAGGCUCCCCUGGGACAGAGGUGUACAAUUUUCUAUUCUUGCUUCGGAUGCGAGUGCCGCUGCGCUGCCUCAGCCCACGUCUCUGAGUAGGAGCAAGUGCUAGUCCAUUUUGAGUAGAGCAGACAAAAGAGCAAGCUGUAUAGGAGGGCUGUCCUUUUAAAUACUUCAACUUUUCAAGGUCAUUUGUGGAGCUUUUAUCAAUCAGAAAGCUAAAUUCAUACAAAAAGCAUCUAUAAUGAACCAAGCGUAUCUUCAACCUUAUCCCUUCAGCUGAAUACGAAUUAUCUAGGAAGGUGCUUCAGCAGCCACGUUCACUGAGUUCAGCAUCCCUGUGAACAUCAUAUAAAGUAAGCAGAGAAGCCACUACUAUUGUA